rnacentral:rRNA from 1 species
AACGAACGCUGGCGGCAGGCUUAACACAUGCAAGUCGAGCGCCCCGCAAGGGGAGCGGCAGACGGGUGAGUAACGCGUGGGAAUCUACCCAUCUCUACGGAAUAACGCAUGGAAACGUGUGCUAAUACCGUACACGUCAUUCGGGAGAAAGAUUUAUCGGAGAUGGAUGAGCCCGGGUUGGAUUAGCUAGUUGGGGGGGUAAAGGCCUACCAAGGCGACGAUCCAUAGCUGGUCCGGGAGGAUGAUCAGCCACCCUGGGAAUGAGACACGGCCCAGACUCCUACGGGAGGCAGCAGUGGGGAAUAUUGGAAAAUGGGCGCAAGCCUGUUCCAGCCAUGCCGCGUGAGUGAUGAAGGCCCUAGGGUUGUAAAGCUCUUUAACCGGUGAAGAUAAUGACGGUAACCGGAGAAGAAGCCCCGGCUAACUUCGUGCCAGCAGCCGCCGUAAAAC